rnacentral:rRNA from 1 species
CCCUUAGACGUUCUGGGCCGCACGCGCGCUACACUGACCAGUGCAACAAGCAUCCGUCCUUGGCCGACAGGCCCGGGCAAUCUUUGAACGCUGGUCGUGAUGGGGAUAGACUUUUGCAAUUUUUGGUCUUCAACGAGGAAUUCCUAGUAAACGCAAGUCAUCAACUUGCAUUGAUUACGUCCCUGCCCUUUGUACACACCGCCCGUCGCACCUACCGAUUGAAUGGUCCGGUGAAGCCUCCGGAUUGGCGCGCACCUCGGUGCCGCCGAGAAGUUGGCUAAACCUUACCAUUUCGAGGAAGGUGAAGUCGUAACA